rnacentral:rRNA from 1 species
GAUGAACGCUAGCGGCAGGCCUAAUACAUGCAAGUCGAACGGCCCCGACACUUCGGUGUCGGGGUAGUGGCGCACGGGUGCGUAACGCGUACACAACAUACCCUUUACAGGGGGAUAGCGGCGGGAAACUGCCAGUAAUACCCCAUGUCCUUGCGAGGUGGCAUCAUUUUGCAAAGAAAGUUCAAGCGGUAAAGGAUUGGUGUGCGUCCGAUUAGCUAGUUGGCGGGGUAACGGCCCACCAAGGCGACGAUCGGUAGGGGGUGUGAGAGCAUGGCCCCCCCACACGGGUACUGAGACACGGACCCGACUCCUACGGGAGGCAGCAGUAAGGAAUAUUGGACAAUGGACGGAAGUCUGAUCCAGCCAUGCCGCGUGAGUGAAGAAGGCCU